UGAAAUGAGGAUCAGCUGGGUAGACCUGUCAUUUCAUUGAUCUCCAGAAAAGAUUUGGCUAAUCUGGCUAGCUAGGCAGAUGUUCCUCAUGCAUUCUCAUGACCCCAGGUGUGCCCUUCCCAAAGCAACAAAAAUCAAUUGAAGAGAACGACUUUCCCAGAUGCAGGAACUUUGCUUUCAUUGGUUAAAGACACAGCUGAGGUCUUUUGCUAGACCUUGCGGAUUUCCAGAUUCAUGGGUGCAGAAUUACUUGAUUGAUCAUGCUUUAAUCAAUUUAUGUUGUUCUCAAGAAUCCUCAAUU
rnacentral:snRNA from 1 species